CUACCCAAAAUCUCUAAAAGUUCAGCCAUCCCAUUAUGCUUCUCAGUCUCAAAAAUAAAUUGAUAGAAAAUGUUAUUGAUAGCUUUCCUGAUAAAUGGUCGAUGCACCAUAAAUUUGCCAUAAAUGCGGUGGAGAAUUGUUUUCAAGUACUCCCUUUCCCUGGGAUCUUCAGAAUCAAAUAAAUCCAGAAACUUGAGAAUGAAUGAUUGAUCAAUGUAUCUUUUAGCUGGUUUUACAUCUGUCUCAGACGAUGCCACAAACCUCAAGAAAAGCUCAUACACAAGCUGCAAGUGUGGCCAUGCAAGAUCCAUAGAAGGCUCCUCCUCCUCCAAAUCAACACCAUCUACAACUUUAUUCUCACGUGGUUGAGGAGUGAACAUCCUAAUAAAUAAAUUUGCAGAAACCAUUUUCAGAACUUCUUGAAUAACAGUUUCUGUGAAUUUUCCAUUCACAGAAGUCACAUAAUCUACCAGCUCUAACAACGUCUGUCGCUUGAUCUCCUUUUCUUUGAGGUUCUUUGUUGGGUCAUUGAAGUCAAAUACAAUACAACAAAGGUUGAGCUUUUUUAUAAACAAGUUCUGCUUCUCAGAAUUUGGAACAUCCCUGAGUUCAGGCAAUCCUUCAUAUGAAGAAAACCCCAGAUUAUCAUUCAGCUUUGAAGUCACACCUCGCUGAUCAUUGUUACCAUGGUUUUGUCCUGUGUCUGAAGCAGAAUUAUUUGCUGUUACAGAUGUGACAUUCAACUUUGAUGACUUCUCCCCAAAAUCACUGCUUCUUGAGCCAGUGGAGUUGUUUGAAUUGAUGGCAAGAUUUCCACCAUGAUCACGAUUUUGAGACGAUUUAAAUGACUUUCGCGGAAGCUUACUAAGUAUCUGUUUUAACAUAAUUUACAUAAACAAACAAAUACUACUCCUAAAAGAGCCACAAAAACGAAUCCAAAAAUUUCACUGUUCAGUCCAAUACUAUCAGAAUCUUUCAAAUAAUACCAAAUUCCAAAUCUGCCAUAAUCAUAAAGCACACUUGAAGAAAGUGCUAGCACAAAUCUAAUUGAUGUUUUCAACCCAACCAGAAAGCUCAUUCAAUGUCUGUAUUUCCCAGAACAAAGCAAACGAAGGGGGGGCGGAAACUCUCAUUCUCAUCCACAAAACCAAAAGCAAACUCACCUCUCGACCCACACAUCAAGGCACUCCCUGAUUUCUCCAAUCAGAGUCAAACCAAAAACAGAACUACUUUAUGCUUUCCCACUCUCCUCUCACCAACCCAAUAUCAAAAUCCAAACUUUUUGGGACUGAAAUGGAAAACCCAAAAAGUUUAAAGUCUUCCUAAGCACGAG
rnacentral:misc_RNA from 1 species